rnacentral:rRNA from 1 species
AUUGAACGCUGGCGGCAUGCCUAACACAUGCAAGUCGAGCGGAGCGGCGUACGGGUGAGUAAUGCCUAGGAAUCUGCCUGGCAGCGGGGGAUAACGUCCGGAAACGGGCGCUAAUACCGCAUACUAUCAGAUGAGCUUAGGUCGGAUUAGCUAGUUGGUGGGUUAAAGGCCUACCAAGGCGACGAUCCGUAACUGGUCUGAGAGGAUGAUCAGUCAAACGGGAAGUGAGAAAGGGUCCAGACUCCUACGGGAGGCAGCAGUGGGGAAGAUUGGACAAUGGGGGAAAGCCUGAUCCAGCAAUGCCGCGUGUGUGAAGAAGGUCUUCGGAUGUUAAAGCACUUUAAGUUGGGAGGCGUUACCAACAGAAUAAGCACCGGCUAACUUCGUGCCAGCAGCCGCGGUAAUUC